rnacentral:siRNA from 1 species
GAGAGACUACUGAUGGAGACGCU